CCCAUAUUUUGGGGCCUCUCACCUUCUGAGAUGGCUCACACUCUAUCUGUGGAGUAUGUUUCUCCCAGGGCCAUUCUUACCUUUUGAGACGGACCACAUUCUGUCUCUGGAAUGUGUAUCUCUCUAAAAAAAAGUCCACUUCUUACCUAUCACUUUGUCUCUCACUGAAUUCUUUCUGUGACAAGACAUCAAGAACCUGAGUUUUGGACUUCCCUGGUGGUGCAGUAGUUAAGA